CUACUGGGGUAUCUAAUCCUGUUUGCUCCCCACGCUUUCGUGCCUCAGUGUCAGUGCUGGUCCAGGUAGUCGCCUUCGCCACAGAUGUUCCUCCCGAUCUCUACGCAUUUCACUGCUACACCGGGAAUUCCACUACCCUCUACCGCACUCUAGAUCGCCAGUUUCCAAUGCCAUUCCCAGGUUGAGCCCAGGGCUUUCACAUCAGACUUAACGAACCACCUACGCACGCUUUACGCCCAGUAAUUCCGAGUAACGCUUGCACCCUUCGUAUUACCGCGGCUGCUGGCAC
rnacentral:rRNA from 1 species